UACGGAGGGUGCGAGCGUUAUCCGGAUUCACUGGGUUUAAAGGGUGCGUAGGCGGCUAAAUAAGUCAGUGGUGAAAGCUUACAGCUUAACUGUGAAACUGCCAUUGAAACUGUUUAGCUUGAAUCUGGUUGAAGUGGGCGGAAUACAUCAUGUAGCGGUGAAAUGCUUAGAUAUGAUGUAGAACACCGAUUGCGAAGGCAGCUCACUAAGCCAACAUUGACGCUGAGGCACGAAAGCGUGGGGAGCGAACAGG
rnacentral:rRNA from 1 species